rnacentral:rRNA from 1 species
UACGUAGGGACCAAGCGUUGUUCGGAUUUACUGGGCGUAAAGGGCGUGUAGGCGGCAAUUCAAGUCAUCUGUGAAAUCUCCGGGCUUAACUCGGAACGGUCAGAUGAUACUGCUUUGCUAGAGUGCGGAAGGGGCAAUCGGAAUUCUCGGUGUAGCGGUGAAAUGCGUAGAUAUCGAGAGGAACACCUGCGGCGAAGGCGGGUAGCUGGGCCGACACUGACGCUGAGGCGCGAAAGCCAGGGGAGCGAACGGG